rnacentral:lncRNA from 1 species
UGCUGCUUACUGGGUCCUGAAUCGGCUGCGUGCUGUUCUAGGCAUCUUUCACCCUGAAGUCACGGGAACAACGCUGAGGGGCAGCCAGAGAUUAUGUGGGCUUUUCCAUGGGAAGAACCACUCUACGUUAUCACCUUCUACAUAGUAGCAGUUGAAGCCAAAUGGACAGAAAGCCCGAGACAACAUGAAGUUGUUCUACAAGUUAUUUUGGAGAAAUUGACUUACCAUACCACUCAUCAACCCAUGCAAAAGCCUGUCUAUGUCCAAUCAGCAGAAUGUCUCGGACCACCUAAAAAGUAAAAGAAGGAGACUGAAAUAAUAGCAUCUUUGAUGAAAACUAUCUGGAAGACAAGUUGUUAACAAUUCUGGGGAUCUUGGUGAUUACAGAGUUCUUAAUCCCUCUGUCCAUAGGUGAUGACAAUUACAGGCUGCCUAUAGGUCCUAUAGUGCUCACACACCUCCAGCCCUUCCCCAUGGUGUACACACACUUGCAGUAUAUUCAUCUCUUUGUCUUAUUUGAGAGUAGGGCUGGGUGUGUGUACAAACUAAUGACAAAUACUUGACAGUCACACAGCAGUGAUAC